GAUGAACGCUGGCGGCGUGCCUAAUACAUGCGAGUCGAGCGAACGGACGAGAAGCUUGCUUCUCUGAUGUUAGCGGCGGACGGGGGAGUAACACGUGGAUAACCUACCUAUAAGACUGCGAUAACUUCGGGAAACCGGAGCUAAUACCGGAUAAUAUUUUGAACCGCAUGGUUCAAAAGUGAAAGACGGUCUUGCUGUCACUUAUAGAUGGAUCCGCGCUGCAUUAGCUAGUUGGUAAGGUAACGGCUUACCAAGGCAACGAUGCAUAGCCGACCUGAGAGGAUGAUCGGCCACACUGGAACUGAGACACGGUCCAGACUCCUACGGGAGGCAGCAGUAGGGAAUCUUCCGCAAUGGGCGAAAGCCUGACGGAGCAACGCCGCGUGAGUGAUGAAGGUCUUCGGAUCGUAAAACUCUGUUAUUAGGGAAGAACAUAUGUGUAAGUAACUGUGCACAUCUUGACGGUACCUAAUCAGAAAGCCACGGCUAACUACGUG
rnacentral:rRNA from 1 species